rnacentral:rRNA from 1 species
GAUCUUCUUCGGAAGAGAGCGGCGGACGGGUGAGUAACGCGUGGGUAACCUGCCCUGUACACACGGAUAACAUACCGAAAGGUAUGCUAAUACGGGAUAACAUAUGAGAGUUGCAUGACUUUCAUAUCAAAGCUUUUGCGGUACAGGAUGGACCCGCGUCUGAUUAGCUAGUUGGUAAGGUAACGGCUUACCAAGGCGACGAUCAGUAGCCGACCUGAGAGGGUGAUCGGCCACACUGGAACUGAGACACGGUCCAGACUCCUACGGGAGGCAGCAGUGGGGAAUAUUGCACAAUGGGCGAAAGCCUGAUGCAGCAACGCCGCGUGAGCGAUGAAGGCCUUCGGGUCGUAAAGCUCUGUCCUCAAGGAAGAUAAUGACGGUACUUGAGGAGGAAGCCCCGGCUAACUACGUGCCAGCAGCCGCGGUAAUACGUAGGGGGCUAGCGUUAUCCGGAAUUACUGGGCGUAAAGGGUGCGUAGGCGGUCUUUCAAGCCAGAAGUGAAAGGCUACGGCUCAACCGUAGUAAGCUUUUGGAACUGUAGGACUUGAGUGCAGGAGAGGAGAGUAGAAUUCCUAGUGUAGCGGUGAGAUGCGUAGAUAUUAGGAGGAAUACCAGUAGCGAAGGCGGCUCUCUGGACUGUAACUGACGCUGAGGCACGAAAGCGUGGGGAGCAAACAGGAUUAGAUACCCUGGUAGUCCACGCCGUAAACGAUGAGUACUAGGUGUCGGGGGUUACCCCCCUCGGUGCCGCAGCUAACGCAUUAAGUACUCCGCCUGGGAAGUACGCUCGCAAGAGUGAA